UGUGACGUAGCUCAGUCGGUAGAGCGUCCCGCUGUUAACGGGUCGGUCCCAGGUUCGAGGCCUGGCGUCACAGCCA
rnacentral:tRNA from 2 species